rnacentral:misc_RNA from 1 species
AAAAGUUUUGCACAAGAAACACAAGUAAGUCUAGAUCUCCUUUUGCAUUUGGUCCUUUUUUUUCGGCCUUAUUUUGUUGGACUCUGCGGAUGCAAUUGUGUCAAUCAUUUAACAGAGAAGCUUCCAAUUUAAUUACCAAAAGAUGCAAACAUGUGUUGUUUUUUUGCGCUUCCCCACAUAUGCCAUGAACAUAUUUUUGCAAGCAAUUGAUAUUUUUCCUCUUAUGUUUUUUCUAUUUUGCGUUUGGGUUAUUAGUUUUACUGAAGUUCAUGGAGUAUAUCUGUGUGUGCGUGUCUUAUUAUUUGCAUUGUGUAGGAAGAGCUGAAUUGACUGAAUACACCAGUGAUUCUUGAAUACUAUCAAUAGUUCCUUUCGUUCUAAUGCCAUUUUGGUUGUGCAGAUUACCUGUUCACUACUGCAUAAU